GAUGAACGCUAGCGGUAGGCUUAACACAUGCAAGUCGAGGGGCAGCAUGGUCUUAGCUUGCUAAGACUGAUGGCGACCGGCGCACGGGUGCGUAACGCGUAUGCAACUUGCCUCACAGAGGGGGAUAACCCGUCGAAAGACGGACUAAUACCGCGUACACUCCAUCUUGGGCAUCCAAGGUAGCGGAAAUGAAAUUCGCUGUGAGAUAGGCAUGCGUCCCAUUAGCUAGUUGGUGAGGUAACGGCUCACCAAGGCGACGAUGGGUAGGGGAACUGAGAGGUUGAACCCCCACACUGGUACUGAGACACGGACCAGACUCCUACGGGAGGCAGCAGUGAGGAAUAUUGGUCAAUGGGCGAGAGCCUGAACCAGCCAAGUCGCGUGAAGGAUGACUGUCUUAUGGAUUGUAAACUUCUUUUAUACGGGAAUAACAAGAGUCACGUGUGACUCCCUGCAUGUACCGUAUGAAUAAGCAUCGGCUAACUCCGUG
rnacentral:rRNA from 1 species